CCCAGUGAACAAUUAAACGGCCGCGGUACCCUAACCGUGCAAAGGUAGCAUAAUCAUUUGUCUACUAAUUAUAGACCUGCAUGAAAGGCAAAAUGAGGGUCUAACUGUCUCUUAUAAUGAAUCAAUUAAACUGAUCUCCUAGUAAAAAAGCUAGAAUUUCCACAUAAGACCAGAAGACCCUGUGAAGCUUAAACUAAAUUAUUAAACCAUAUAAUAACCACUUUCGGUUGGGGCGACCUUGGAAAAAAACAAAACUUCCAAAAAAUAUGACUACUCAUACCACCCUAGGCCAACAAGCCAAUAAACGACCCAGCACAGCUGAUCACUGAACCAAGUUACUCCAGGGAUAACAGCGCAAUCCUCUUCAAGAGCCCAUAUCAAAAAGAGGGUUUACGACC
rnacentral:rRNA from 1 species